ensembl:lncRNA
UAAAUCUGUCAGAGAUGUGCAUUUCUGUGAACAGCACACUAUUUUUGAGAAACAAACUAGAAAACAGAAAGGUAAAGUAGGCAAGUCGGUACAAUGGUUGAAUGAGCUGAUGAUGGCUCAGAGAGCAGCAGGGGAGCUGUGGUGGUUUGAUCCAUUACAGGGUUUCCCUCCCUGCUGGAGUGUGGUGGCACCAGGAAUUUCUCCCCUUCCUUCAGCACAGAUUUGAACAGAAGUGACAGUCCAGAGAAUACCACCUUACACGCUUCACUGGAGAGAGAGAGGGAGCAGACAUCGAGGAGAGGAAGAGUCAGUAUCCUCUUCCAUGCUUGAAAUCAGUCACCACAGCUGUGUCUAGGACACUGUUACACCUGUUGACCGGCGAAUGAACUCGACCAAGUGUUGCCAUCAUUGCCAUAGUGACCACCCAGCGCUGCCCCUGGCGUGCAGAAUUUCACCACAGAAACUUGACUUACCAGGAAACAGACAGAAAAGCGGACAUCGAAGAUCUAUAUUUGUUCAGGAAGUGGUAACGGCUGCUUUGCUUGCAUCUUUUUAAAUGGUAUGGACGGUGGCAGGAUGCUGAGUGUUUGUUUAACUGUGUGAUCAGUCACAUUUUACAAAGUAUGUGAUUGUAAUCUCCAACUGUGAGGAGACUCAUCUGAAUUUGCUCGGUUAGCUAUGAUAUAUAAUAAAAGCAAUCCAAAAGAGGACAUUUUUCUCCCUCCAACAUGAAUCGUAAUAUUGAUCUGCAUGCUUGUUAGUGGUGAGCUGAAGGGUUUCAAUGACAAUCAUUUGGUCCAUCUGUCUGUCCUCCCAUCUGUGCAAAAACCAAAAGACUACCAGGCAGACGGCCAUGUAAUACAGUACACACCGUGUUUAUUGUUUCCAAAGGAUUAUUCUCAAUGAUUUUGUUGACCUGCUGACCUUUCAUCUGUCCUGAUCAGUUCUUUGGUAGAUGGUCAGCUAUCUCAGAAACAUAAGACUCAGUAAUCAACACUUUUACAGUGGAUAGUCAUUGAUCC